UACGUAGGGUGCAAGCGUUAAUCGGAAUUACUGGGCGUAAAGCGUGCGCAGGCGGUUGUGCAAGACAGAGGUGAAAUCCCCGGGCUUAACCCUGGGAAUGGACCUUUGUGACUGCACGGCUAGAGUGUGUCAGAGGGGGUAGAAAUUCCACGUGUAGCAGUGAAAAUGCGUAGAGAUGUGGAGGAAUACCGAAUGGCGAAGGCAGCCCUGGGAUAA
rnacentral:rRNA from 1 species